GGUGUCAUAUCGUUAAAAGGGAAUCAGGUGAGAAUCCUGAACAGUCCCGCUGCUGUAUGCUCAUAACAUGCUGCACUUCAAAUUCAUAACAUUGUCACUGUAUAUCGACAUAGAUAUGUGGGAAGGCAAUAAACAGAGGUGGAGCGAGCGAAGUCAGAAGACCUGCCAAGUCGUUU
rnacentral:ncRNA from 1 species